rnacentral:rRNA from 1 species
UCCUACGGGAGGCAGCAGUGGGGAAUAUUGGACAAUGGGGGGAACCCUGAUCCAGCCAUGCCGCGUGUGUGAAGAAGGCCUUUUGGUUGUAAAGCACUUUAAGCGAGGAGGAGGCUACUUAGAUUAAUACUCUGAGAUAGUGGACGUUACUCGCAGAAUAAGCACCGGCUAACUCUGUGCCAGCAGCCGCGGUAAUACAGAGGGUGCGAGCGUUAAUCGGAUUUACUGGGCGUAAAGCGUGCGUAGGUGGCCAAUUAAGUCAAAUGUGAAAUCCCUGAGCUUAACUUAGGAAUUGCAUUCGAUACUGGUUGGCUAGAGUAUGGGAGAGGAUGGUAGAAUUCCAGGUGUAGCGGUGAAAUGCGUAGAGAUCUGGAGGAAUACCGAUGGCGAAGGCAGCCAUCUGGCCUAAUACUGACACUGAGGUACGAAAGCAUGGGGAGCAAACAGGAUUAGAUACCCUGGUAGUCC